UACGGAGGGAGCUAGCGUUAUUCGGAAUUACUGGGCGUAAAGCGCACGUAGGCGGCUUGUAAGUUAGAGGUGAAAGCCUGGAGCUCAACUCCAGAAUUGCCUUUAAGACUGCAUCGCUUGAAUCCAGGAGAGGUGAGUGGAAUUCCGAAGUGUAGAGGUGAAAUUCGUAGAUAUUCGGAAGAACACCAGUGGCGAAGGCGGCUCACUGGACUGGUAUUGACGCUGAGG
rnacentral:rRNA from 1 species